rnacentral:sRNA from 1 species
AGCCCUGGCAGUACGCCUUGCCUUUUCACGGCACAUCCACUACAGCCUUUCCCACACUGUGACACUGGAGCCGGUGAGUCAGAUGCAUGGCAUGGGAAGCCCUCUCUAGGAGGAUGCUGUGGCCACACAAGCGCUGGACGAACCGCUGGAGUUGAAGAUUAUUCUCUCUUCUAAAGAAAGUAGAAGGAUAUUAGGAGAAUAGACACUUUAAAAUGUUCACUCUUUUAUUCACAUUACAUCAUCUGUCUUGAAUAAUGGGUCUAUCUCUUUCCUGUUGCUCUGGCCCUGAAAAAAAAAAAAUCAGCUUUUUAAGCCUGCUUUUGUUACGUGUGCAUUUUCUUGUAAUCCCAUCAUUCUGGGAUUUAAUAAUAAUAGUAUUAAUACCACCUACCAUUUGUUGGUUACUUACUGUGUUUUAGGCACUGUGCUAAACGCCUUCCACAUAUUCAUCUCAUUAGUAAACAUUUCUGAAACUAUUCUUACAA